CCCCUCCCGGCCCACUUCCCACCCCAUCAGAUUCUGCCUGCCUCUCAAGGCCCUCAUCCCCUUCCUACUGCCUUUCAGAGUCUGUUCUCAGCAGUGAGCUUCAGAUAGAGGAAGAACUCUUAAUUUCAGAGCAAGGAAAUGGCAUUCUGUCAUGAGGACAAUACGGUACCCUCAUCUCAGAGGAUUGGGAUGUGCCCUUCAUGGCGUUGAGGGAGGAGGCAUUUAAGCUAUGCAAAAUGCGAUGAGAAAUAAAUUCACCAAGCAGCAAGAGUUGUUCCUCCACGAGAAAAAAACACAGACAAGACCGCUUGUUUCAAUGAGAGGUGGAUUCUUAACCACUGGACCACCAGGGAAGUCCAGCAUGAGGUAUUAUCUUUUUUUAAAAAAAUAAGCCAGUUGAAAGAAAAUGGCAUUUUGAUCUAUAGUUGUUCAUUAUUCCUGAAGUUGAAUUUUAAAAGAAGUUGGAACUGUCCAAGUUUGAGGUUCAAGACAUCCAGGUUUGGGAGAGAGAGAGAACUUCCUGAGGCAAGAAAUGAAUCUGUACCUGGAUAGACAUGGCACAUUCCCACAACGACAGGCCCAGGUUGUUGCUCUAAGCUCUGUGGAGGUAGGGGAGCAUCACGGCUUGGGGACUGUCCCAUCCCACGCCCAGAGGUGAACAGCUGUUUGGCAUCUCAGAUUUCCCAUGAUGCCCCAGGGCCACCAGAAAAGGAAAUUUCAUAACACAGGAAUGUCCUGAACAGCCUGUCUGGGGUAACUUGAACUGUUCCCGAGCCUGGGGUGGCUGACGACUCAACUUGGCAGGAAGCUGCGGAGGCUUUGCAAGUAGAAGAGUAAGUCAACAAGGAGCUAUAAGGUGGGAAGUGUGAAGAAGCAGUUCCUUCAGGCUGUGUGUGUGUGCUCAGUCAUUCAGUCGUGUCCUACUCUUUGCGACCCUAUGGACUGCAUCCCACCAGGCUCCUCUGUGCAUGGAAUUUUCCAGUCAAGAAUACUGGGAUGAACUGCCAUUUCCUACUCCAGGGAUCAAAUCUGAGUUUCUUGUAUCUUGCGCAUUGGCAG
ensembl:lncRNA